rnacentral:rRNA from 1 species
GAUGAACGCUGGCGGCGUGCCUAAUACAUGCAAGUCGAGCGAACGGACGAGAAGCUUGCUUCUCUGAUGUUAUCGGCGGACGGGUGAGUAACACGUGGAUAACCUACCUAUAAGACUGGGAUAACUUCGGGAAACCGGAGCUAAUACCGGAUAAUAUUUUGAACCGCAUGGUUCAAAAGUGAAAGACGGUCUUUCUUUCACUUAUAGAUGGAUCCGCGCUGCAUUAGCUAGUUGGUAAGGUAACGGCUUACCAAGGCAACGAUGCAUAGCCGACCUGAGAGGGUGGUCGGCCACACUGGAAGUGAGACACGGUCCAGACUCCUACGGGAGGAAGCAGUCGGGAAUCUUCCGCAAUGGGCGAAAGCCUGACGGAGCAACGCCGCGUGAGUGAUGAAGGUCUUCGGAUCGUAAAACUCUGUUAUUAGGGAAGAACAUAUGUGUAAGUAACUGUGCACAUCUUGACGGUACCUAAUCAGAAAGCCACGGCUAACUACGUG